AACACCUCAAUUUUUUUAACAAUUCAUAAAUUUCAUUUAAUUUUAUAAUCGAUAGUAGAACAAAUUUCUUAGUAAACAUGGGUAGGUCCGAUACAUAUUUUUACCCCACAUCGAGCGAGGAAUAUGAGAGUGACGCU